AAAUUAUUCACCUGAAGGUAACUCAGAGAAAGCAAAGAUUUCACAGACGUCCACUGAUGGCUUUUUAACAGGAAAAAAAGGUUGAUGAGAAAUAAACUGGUUAAAGACGACUGGAUAGAGAGUAAGUUUCUAUGUGCGCAUGUGACACGGAGCUGCGAUUUCUGCGACAGAGCUACAGCGCUACAUGCACGUGCUUCCACACUUUGGGAUCGGCCAGGUCUACCAGAGCUUUAGCGUUGAGCAAGCCGAAUCCGAAGCGGCUGUUCACCAUGAGACCGGCGCCGUUCCUCUUCCAGCCAGGGUUAUUCGCUAGAGGGUCGAACUCAG